AGUGAACGCUGGCGGCGUGCUUAACACAUGCAAGUCGAACGCGAAAGUGUAGCAAUACAUGAGUAGAGUGGCGAACGGGUGAGUAAAAUGUGGGUAAUCUAGCUUUCAGAGGGGGAUAACCCGGGGAAACCUGGGCUAAAACCGCGUAACAUAUUGGGGUUUAAGACCCUAAUAUCAAAACAUGGCCUCUAUUUAUAAGCUAUGGCUGAGAGAUGAGCCCACAUCCUAUCACGCUUGUUGGUGGGGUAACGGCCCACCAAGGCGACGACGGGUAGCCGGCCUGAGAGGGUGUCCGGCCACACUGGAACUGAGACACGGUCCAGACUCCUACGGGAGGCAGCAGUGGGAAUUUUCGCAAUGGGCGCAAGCCUGACGAA
rnacentral:rRNA from 1 species